rfam:Ancylostoma duodenale strain Zhejiang A_duodenale-1.0_Cont6654.2, whole genome shotgun sequence.
AUCGCUUCUCGGCCUUUUGCCUAAGAUCAAAGCAUAGUUCUGUUCUUAUAGAGUUGACUUCGAUAGAGAUUCGAACGAGUUUCAUCAAGGUUUCUGGAUUUUUGGGACCGGAUGGGUUCGUGGGUCGGUCCAGCGUUGCACUGCUGCUGGGAUCGACCCACCUCUU